AUGUUGGUUAAUAAAAUCCGCACAUAUGUCGACACAUUCCUCUGGGUGCCCGUAAGGGUGGAGAAUGCGGACAUAUGGAGGCCUAAC
rnacentral:sRNA from 1 species